GAGGAAUAUUGGGCAAUGCCCGCAAGGGUGACCCAGCAACGCCGCGUGGAGGAUGAACGUCGUAAGAUUGUAAACUCCUGUUAGAGGGGAAGAAUAGUACCGGUUGGACCGGUAUAUGACUGUACCCUCAGAGAAAGCCCCGGCUAACUACGUGCCAGCAGCCGCGGUAAUACGUAGGGGGCAAGCGUUGUCCGGAUUUACUGGGUGUAAAGGGCGCGCAGGCGGGAUAAAAAGUCAGUGGUGAAAUCCUACAGCUUAACUGUAGAACUGCCUUUGAUACUUUUAUUCUUGAGUUCGGGAGAGAGAGACGGAAUUCCAGGUGUAGUGGUGAAAUACGUAGAUAUCUGGAAGAACACCAGUUGCGAAGGCGGUCUCUUGGUCCGACACUGACGCUGAGGCGCGAAAGCGUGGGGAGCAAACA
rnacentral:rRNA from 1 species